UGGCACUCAUUCAACAGUUGCAUACCCCUUCGUCACGACUCACGAGGCUCAGGCGGACAAAGGCCCCGAGGUUCUUCUCCCCACCGCCCCGCCGCCGCCGCCGCCGCCGCCGCCCUCACACACACACCCCACCCUAUACAGGCGAACUCCGCCGCAGCAGCAGGGGACCCCUAUGGCGAGCACCAUUGGCGGUAGCGGCAGUUCUGGAGCCCGUCGUUCCCGGGAGCGGGGGCUAGCGUUCGGGAGUGUGGAGCAAGCUGAGCAUCCCAGGGCGGUCAAGAGGGCUAGGGUUUCGGCUGGUGCUUCGCGCUCGGGUGUUAGUUCAAGUGGAAAAGAUGGAGUGCUUACAAUAUUCCGCUUCAUGUUGACAAAUCAUAUGAUGAAAUCAUCAAGAGGUUAUGUUCGACAAGAACUUCUAACUGAGGCUCAACGCCUUGAAGCAGUGCACAAGGCAGUUGAGAAGAUAAUUGACUACCAUCAACAACAGAUUCCAGAAACUGAAAAGUCGAUUGAACAGUAUAUAUGUCAGAAUGAAAUGCAAAUCAAGGAGUGUCUGAAGAGACAUGUGCAACUGUUUUGGAAGGAGUCUUCGCGUUGAAGUCUGCCUGUCAAUUGCUUGACAUGUUCAAGCAUAAAAUUAAAUGGAUUUUCUUAAUGCACAACAUGGCAUUGAAAUGUGCUUGCUGACCAGGAGAGUAAUGGCAUUUGUUUUCACUUGAUGGACCUAAAGUAGCAGGUAUUUACAUCUUUUGGAUAUUUAUUAUAUUAUUUGCAUGAUUCACUGUAUCUGCAAUACUGUAGAGGUGUACCAGGCUAACCUUUAUAUUUUUUGGUCCUGCAUUGGGAAAGUCUUAAUGAGCGUUUAAUUCUCAGAAUACUGCAGCAACUAGUAAUUAUUAUUUUACUGUUAAAGAACAUCCAUCGUUCUUUGUUUAAAAGAAUAUCCGUAUGUUCUCUGUUCAUUUCAACGUUGGUUCACAUGUUUUGCAAAGACUCGAGUCAUUAGGUUUAUACCUGCUGAGGCUGGAAUGCUCUUCUCACCCUGCUGGUCCUGGACUGGAUCGGAUCCCCUUCAAAUCAAUAGACUGGGUAGGAAUGAGUUGGUAUUGAUCCAGAGUUUUCUGACCUGUCAAAAUCAAUUAAUGAGUUUUAUUGUGCGUGAUGUAUAACAUUACAAGUCAGUAUAUUGAACAGUGUUUCAUGUUCAUUCUUCCAGAAUGCACAAACAACGUUUCGUCAUUUGCACAUCUUUGCAUUAAUAGAUAGGUGAAGCAAACAUACUUACAAGAGUUGUAUGGUCUAGGAAAUGAACCUGCUUUUUUUUCGAGAGUACGCAAUCGCGUACCUUAUUUUGAUAGAAGGCAAAAGUAUUUUUUACAAGAACUGAUACAAUGCUGCGAACAGCAAGAUCAGAAACUCCCUCCCUCCAACUAGCCUAAGCUACUCUCUCGCUGAUUUGCCACCCUCCAAAACCUGCAAUGUUCCAGUGCUUCAUCUCAUCUAAAAUCCUAUUGGCCAACUCCAUAGCCGUACAUUGCACUCUAAUGUUGUUGAAUACAUGUGAAUUCCGUUGCUUCCAUAGUGACCAAACCGUGAGAAUCACAAAGGCAUCGAAGCCCCUUCUUUCUUUGUGGUGAAAGCAUGCUCUGGCUCGCAACCACCAAGCCUCCAGUUGAUCAUCCAUGUUGGGUUGUAGGGCUGACGCCCAGCCUUGAGUAGACAGUUGUACCACACCUCUCUAGCAUAAGCCACUGAAUCAAGACAGACAAAAUAUGAUGACUUUGGUCUUGCAGGCCGUGGCGCUCCCUUCGAUGCGAAGUCCAAAUUCUAUGUUUUUUUUUGCGUAGAAGUCCAAAUUCUAUGUUGAGCUGCAUGCCACACAAUUUUUUUACAUUUCAUAGGCGCCUUUGACUUCCAUAUGCAAUCUGACAGCGGGAACCUCUCUGAUCCCUGACAAAGCAUCACAUAGGUUGACCUUGCAGAGUAGUUGCCAGAACCAGAGCACAGCCAGGAAAACUCAUCUGACACAUCUCUGUCUCUCUGCAUGCAGUUGAUCAGCACCCAGAGUCUCACGCGUUGCAUGCAACCCUCCUGAGAUAGCUCACCUGACAUGUCUCCUAUCCAUCUAUUGCCGUUGUGACCAUCAUAUACUGUUCUGGCACUCAUGUUCCUAGUGCCAACAAGCCGCAGCACUUGUGGAGCAAUGUCUUGUACUGAAAACCCAUAUAUCCAUCGAUCCUUCCAAAACGAUCUAGUUUCCCAUUGCCCACCUUAAUUCUGACCAAACUUCGGAACACCUCAGCCAUCAUCCUUCAUCAUUGGCAAACCUUGCCACUAUCUGCUCUGAUCCGUCCUUCUAAAAAAAAAAAAAACGAGACCAACCUAGGCACUAGCACCCGUUGGCAUUUUUAUAGAAGAAAACUCCUGAGCACCCGCCGAACCCAAGGUUCGAACCCGGGUGGGCAGCGUGCGCUCCCGCACGCCUAGCCACCAGACCGACGGUCUGCUCUGAUCCGUCCUUCUCAACCAUUCCCAUCUCGUCUGCAAGGCGAUGGUAGAUUUUUCACUCCAAGCCUUCCAAAGUAAAAGGGUUUGCAAAUCGCUUGUCAAGCGGCAUUGUCCUCCAUUGACAGUAUAUUUACCUGCCCAGAAAAAGGCUCGUGCCCACUUGUCCACCUCCUGCCAACACAGGCAUAAUGACAUUUUCUAGACAAUGAUAUUUUGAAAAUGAUUUGGUUACUUCAAACUUUUUUCUUGUGCGAGAUUGAGCAUUUUGUAUGCACAAGGUUUUUUUUUUUAAAUACUCCCUCUGUUCCAAAAUGUAUAAAUGGUAUCGUUGCGUUCAUCUUGCAAAUCUCUCUUAUUUCAUAUAUAUUUAUGCAAAUUUUGUAGACAUAUUAUCGGUAUAAAUAUUAGUAAAAGUUAUAAGUUGUUGACCAGCGGAAUUUAAGGGUGCCUUGUAUUUUGGGAAGGAGGGAGUAUCUAUCUUAUUUAUCAAUGUUUUCCUUUGGUUUGUGGAGUUUAUUUUUGCUACUGAACAUAAUUGUUAGUGAGUUAUACUGAGGUGAGCAAUCAUGUAUGUUUCUUGUCAGCACACAUGUGUCCUAUUUGGAUAUCUCUCCAACUUGAGAAGAUACAAUUUUGAUAUCCAGCAGUUUUUAUCUGUUGACAGUGAAUUAUAACUUCUUCCUUCAAGGAUAAAUUUUAGUCAUAUUUCCUUCAAAUAAGAUCACCACAUCCUUCAACGAAAAGUCGCCAUUGAGGGUUUCAACUAGCAAUAGCCUUUAGUGAAGGUGAAUGAACUGACAGCAAAUUGCACACACUAAUUUCCUUUCUAUUUGGGCCGAAACAAAUGCAUAUCUUGGAGGUAUUUUUUUUUUGGGUACAUUAUAGUCUGUCAUCAUACUUGCAUGGGCCAAUGGAUGAAUCUACUCUGGUUUGAAGACCAAGGGCUUCUUAUUGUAGUGUUGCCAGUGUAAUAAUGAUGCAGCUUUCAGUAUGGUGAACAGGAAAGCUAGUGUUAACAUUGUUUUAAGUUCUAACAUGGUACUUUUUCACUGGCAUACUGGCGGUAGAUGACUGAGGGGUUCCACACAAAAGAAGUAUCUACAUUGGCUAGUUUUAGACCUCAAACACUAGGCUAUCUGGUGGCAAGCAGUACCAGAGAAUACUUAGGUACAUCGAGUAUGUGCCUGAGCAGUAUGAUCAUUGUCUUUUUUCAUGAAGAAAGUAAGAACCAGCAUGAUCAUUGUAGCUCUCAUUCAGGUUGAGCAACUUCAGGAGCGGCAAAGGUUUUCCGAGUAACCAGUACGUCAUUUUGCUCCCCCAUCACCUAUUAGUGAUCUAUUACUAUAUAUGACUUGUGUGGAUGAUUACUCUUGCACAAUGUUAUUGCUGCUAACAUGAUUUUUUGUAAGUAUAUUACUACAAAAUGUAUGAUAUGUCUGGUCUACACAGUAGUUAGAAAUUGCAAGACAAUUCUUCCCGACUUUCACAUCUUGGUUGCCCAAGAUACCGCUACAGGUGCUAAGAGUUUGACGUGGAAUCUCUAAAACAGAUGAGCACCUCUGUCCUGUAUGUACUUUGCUAUUUGGUUCAUUUCGCUUAUGGGGUGCUUAUGCCUUACUGAUCAACCUGACUCCCCUCCACAUGUUCAAAUUGUCCACACAGACUGUUCAACUCUCUGUUCACACAAAUUGUAUGCCACCUCUUUCUUCAGUAUUCUUAGGUUCUUUUGGAAGGGCGAAUAAUGACCAGUUGGCCAUCACCGAUAUCAAUGACUUGGACUUCGUACAUUGAAGCGUAUUUAUCGUAAGUUUGUACUUCAGCUUCCCGCAGGCUGCUUUUGCAGAUGUACUAUGCUUCAUGUAUUCUCCCUGGAUAAAGCAUGAAGCUGCAGGCACCUACAAACCCUGAAGAUCUCUGUCACGUGGCUGCUCAUGUUAAUCUUCUCUUUGUUCUUUUUCUCAAAAAGGAAGACCGCAAAAGUCAUUAUUCUGAAGCUGUAGCUUGUCUUUAUUGCAGUUCAUUUUUUGUGGCAAUGAAGUGUUACGCAACUAGAAGCAAUUACUUGAGGCAAAAUGUUCAUGCCAGACUUUUUUCUACCAUCUUCAGCCCUUAUGGCUCAUGCUUACACAUCACAUCGAUGUGAUUCAGAAGUGUUGCAGUAUGUUGAACAGAAUGUACAGGCAAUUUGAAGUUUGACAUGGUUUGAACAGCAGAUGUAUACUCUCUGUAAUUCUGUACCUUGAUUUCUUGGGGAAAAAACAUAAACUGCCUUGGUUAUCAUGA